UACAGGCUUAACACAUGCAAGUCGAGGGGCAGCAUGAAUUUACUUCGGUAGAUUUGAUGGCGACCGGCGCACGGGUGCGUAACGCGUAUCCAACCUUCCCGUUACUCUGGGAUAGCCUUCCGAAAGGGAGAUUAAUACCGGAUGGUGUUUGAAGUCCGCAUGAAAUUCAAACUAAAGAUUUAUCGGUAACGGAUGGGGAUGCGUACCAUUAGAUAGUAGGCGGGGUAACGGCCCACCUAGUCCACGAUGGUUAGGGGUUCUGAGAGGAAGGUCCCCCACACUGGAACUGAGACACGGUCCAGACUCCUACGGGAGGCAGCAGUGAGGAAUAUUGGUCAAUGGCCGGGAGGCUGAACCAGCCAAGUAGCGUGAAGGAUGAAGGUUCUAUGGAUUGUAAACUUCUUUUAUACGGGAAUAACACCAUCUACGUGUAGAUGUCUGCAUGUACCGUAUGAAUAAGCAUCGGCUAACUCCGUGCCAGCAGCCGCGGUAAUACGGAGGAUGCGAGCGUUAUCCGGAUUUAUUGGGUUUAGAGGGAGCGUAGACGGGAUGUUAAGUCAGUUGUGAAAUGCUGUGGCUCAACCAUAGCACUGCAGUUGAUACUGGCGUUCUUGAGUGCGUAUUGAGGUAUGUGGAAUUCGUGGUGUAGCGGUGAAAUGCUUAGAUAUCACGAAGAACUCCGAUUGCGAAGGCAGCGUACCAAUCCGUAACUGACGUUGAUGCUCGAAAGUGUGGGUAUCAAACAGGAUUAGAUACCCUGGUAGUCCACACGGUAAACGAUGGAUACUCGCUGUUGGCGAUAUACUGUCAGCGGCCAAGUGAAAACGUUAAGUAUCCCACCUGGGGAGUACGCCGGCAACGGUGAAACUCAAAAGAAUUGACGGGGGCCCGUACAAGCGGAGGAACAUGUGGUUUAAUUCGAUGAUACGCGAGGAACCUUACCCGGGCUCGAACGGCAGGGGGAUCACCCAGAGAUGGGUGAGUCUUCGGACUCCUGUCGAGGUGCUGCAUGGUUGUCGUCAGCUCGUGCUGUGAAGUGUCGGCUUAAGUGCCAUAACGAGCGCAACCCUUGCCAUUAGUUGCCAUCAGGUAAAGCUGGGGACUCUAGUGGGACUGCCACCGCAAGGUGUGAGGAAGGGGGGGAUGACGUCAAAUCAGCACGGCCCUUACGUCCGGGGCGACACACGUGUUACAAUGGUGGGUACAGAGGGAAGCUACCUGGCGACAGGAUGCAGAUCUCGAAAACCCAUCCCAGUUCGGAUUGGAGUCUGCAACCCGACUCCAUGAAGUUGGAUUCGCUAGUAAUCGCGCAUCAGCCAUGGCGCGGUGAAUACGUUCCCGGGCCUU
rnacentral:rRNA from 1 species